rnacentral:snoRNA from 1 species
AAUAAUAUGAUGAGGUUGAAAAAAAAUGACAAGCAUAUGUCUGAAUCUUUUAUGAAGAGAAACUUUUUCAUGUCUGAUAUU